rnacentral:rRNA from 1 species
CAGCGCCACAAGUUGCAAUCACGUUUAUUGGGCCUAAAGCGUCCGUAGCCGGUUUAGCAAAUCUUUUGUGAAAUCGUCAGGCUUAACUUGACGAAUUGCAGAAGACACUACUAAACUAGGGACUGGGAGGAGUCAGAAGUAUUCUGGGGGGACCGGUAAAAUGGUAUAAUCCCCAGAGGACUACCGAUGGCGAAGGCAUCUGACCAGAACAGAUCCGACGGUGAGGGACGAAAGCCAGGGGAGCAAACCGGAUUAGAUACCCGAGUAGUCC